rnacentral:lncRNA from 1 species
AGUGUUGUCUAUGUACCCUCGUAGACCGAAGCGGAAGCGUUGGCACCACGUAGUGGAAGUAGUCGUACGUCUUCCCGGUUCAACCGAUCCAGGCACCGUUACUCCGGCACCUCCGAGUUCUUGACACACGUACAGCUCGAUGACGCACCCUCAUUCUCCAAUCCAGUAGAGGCUCCGAGGGGGAGUUCCGUCAGCACGAUGGCGUGGUGACGAUCUUGAUGUUCUCCUGUCAUAGGGCUUCGCCUAAGCACCGCUACAAUAUGACCGAGGUGUAAUAUCGUGGAGGGGGGCACCGCACACGGCUAAGGAACGAUCAAUGAUCAACUUGUGUGUUCUAGAGUGCCCCCCUACCCCCGUAUAUAAAGGACGGAGGGAGGAGGUGGCCGGCCCAAGGGGGGGCGCGCCAUAUGGAGGGGGAAACCUACUCCAAGUAGGUUUCCCUCUCUUUUCCUUAUCUUAUUUGGAGGGGGAAGGAAGGAGUACUAGUAUUAGGAAGUAGUACUAGUAGUAGGAAAGGAAGAGGGGGAAGGAGAAAGGAAAUGGGGGGCCGGCCCCCCUCCCCAAUUCGGAUUGGGCUUGGGGGGGCGCGCCCCCCUCCCUUGCUCCUUCUCCCUUCCUCCUACAUGGGCCCAAUAAGGCCCAUAUACCUCCCGGGGGGUUCCGGUAACCUCCCGGAGCUCCAAACUCUUCCGGAACCUUUCCGGUGUCCAAAUAUAUCCGUCCAAUAUAUCAAUCUUUAUGUCUCGACAUUUUGAGACUCCUCGUCAUGUCUGUGAUCAUAUCCGGGACUCCGAACAACCUUCAGUACAUCAAAAUACAUAAACUCAUAAUAUAACUGUCAUCGAAACCUUAAGCGUGCGGACCCUACGGUUCGAGAAUAAUGUAGAUAUGACCGAGACAUGUCUCUGGUCAAUAACCAAUAGCGGGACCUGGAUGCCCAUAUUGGUUCCUAUAUAUUCUACGAAGAUCUUUAUCGGUCAAACCGCAUAACAACAUACGUUAUUCCCUUUGUCAUCGGUAUGUUACUUGCUCGAGAUUUGAUCGUCAGUAUCCAAUACCUAGUUCAAUCUCGUUAUCGGCAAGUCUCUUUACUCGUUCUGUAAUACGUCAUCUCAUAAUUAACUCAUUAGUUACAUGCUUGCAAGGCUUAGGUGAUGAGUAUUACUGAGAGGGCCCAGAGAUACCUCUCCGACAAUCGGAGUGACAAAACCUAAUCUCGAAUUAUGCUAACUCAACAUGUACCUUCGGAAACACCUGUAGUACUCCUUUAUAAUCACCCAGUUACGUUGUGAAGUUUGGUAGUACCCAAAGUGUUCUUCCGGUAAACGGGAGUUACACAAUUCUCAUAGUUACAGGAACAUGUAUAAGUCAUGAAGGAAGCAAUAGUAGAAUACUAAACGAUCAAGUGCUAAGCUAACGGGAUGGGUCAUGUCAAUCACAUCAUUCUCCUAAUGAUGUGAUCUCAUUAAUCAAAUGACAACACAUGUCUAUGGUUAGGAAACAUAACCAUCUUUGAUUAAUGAGCUAGUCAAGUAGAGGCAUACUAGUGACUAUAUGUUUGUCUAUGUAUUCACACAUGUAUCAUGUUUCCGGUUAAUACAAUUCUAGCAUGAAUAAUAAACAUUUAUCAUGAUAUGAGGAAAUAAAUAAUAACUUUAUUAUUGCCUCUAGGGCAUAUUUCCUUCAGUCUCCCACUUGCACUAGAGUCAAUAAUCUAGAUUACACAGUAAUGAUUCUAACACCCAUGGAGUCUUGGUGCUGAUCAUGUUUUGCUCGUGAGAGAGGCUUAGUCAACGGGUCUGCAACAUUCAGAUCCGUAUGUAUCUUGCAAAUCUCUAUGUCUCCCACUUGGACUUUGUCCCGAAUGGAAUUGAAGCGUCUCUUGAUGUGCUUGGUCCUCUUGUGAAAUCUGGAUUCCUUUGCCAAGGCAAUUGCACCAGUAUUGUCACAGAAGAUCUUCAUUGGUCCCGAUGCACUAGGUAUGACACCUAGAUCGGAAAUGAACUCCUUCAUCCAGACUCCUUCAUUCGCCGCUUCAGAAGCAGCUAUGUACUCCGCUUCACAUGUAGAUCCCGCUACGACGCUUUGUUUUGAACUGCACCAACUUACAGCUCCACCGUUUAAUAUAAACACGUAUCCGGUUUGCAAUUUAGAAUCGUCCGGAUCAGUGUCAAAGCUUGCAUUGACGUAACCAUUUACGACUAGCUCUUUGUCACCUCCAUAUACGAGAAACAUAUCCUUAGUCCUUUUCAGGUAUUUCAGGAUGUUCUUGACCGCUGUCCAGUGAUCCACUCCUGGAUUACUUUGGUACCUACCUGCCAAGCUUAUUGCUAAGCAUACGUCAGGUCUGGUACACAGCAUUGCAUACAUGAUAGAGCCUAUGGCUGAAGCAUAAGGAACAUCUUUCAUUUUCUCUCUAUCUUCUGCUGUGGUCGGGCAUUGAGUUCGACUCAACUUCACACCUUGUAGCACAGGCAAGAAUCCUUUCUUUGCCUGAUCCAUUUUGAACUUUUUCAAAUUUUUGUCAAGGUAUGUGCUUUGUGAAAGUCCUAUUAAGCGUCUUGAUCUAUCUCUAUAGAUCUUGAUGCCCAAUAUGUAAGCAGCUUCGCCGAGGUCUUUCAUUGAAAAACUUUUAUUCAAGUAUCCCUUUAUGCUAUCCAGAAAUUCUAUAUCAUUUCCAAUUAAUAAUAUGUCAUCAACAUAUAAAACUAGAAAUGUUACAGAGCUCCCACUCACUUUCUUGUAAAUACAGGCUUCUCCAAAAGUCUGUAUAAAACCAUAUGCUUUGAUCACACUGUCAAAGUGUUUAUUCCAACUCCGAGAUGCUUGCACCAGUCCAUAAAUGGAACGCUGGAGUUUGCACACUUUGUCAGCACCUUUUGGAUCAACAAAACCUUCAGGUUGCAUCAUAUACAACUCUUCUUCUAGAAAUCCAUUCAAGAAUGCAGUCUUGACAUCCAUUUGCCAAAUUUCAUAAUCAUGAAAUGCAGCAAUAGCCAACAUGAUUCGGACAGACUUAAGCAUUGCUACGGGUGAGAAAGUCUCAUCGUAGUCAACCCCUUGAACUUGUCGAAAACCUUUUGCAACAAGUCGAGCUUCGUAGACAGUAACAUUACCAUCAGCGUCAGUCUUCUUCUUAAAGAUCCAUUUAUUCUCAAUGGCUUGCCGAUCAUCGGGAAAGUCAACCAAAGUCCAUACUUUGUUUUCAUACAUGGAUCCUAUCUCAGAUUUCAUGGCCUCUAGACAUUUUGCGGAAUUUGGGCUCAUCAUCGCUUCCUCAUAGUUCGUAGGUUCAUCAUGGUCAAGUAACAUGACUUCCAGAAUAGGAUUUCUGUACCACUCUGGUGCGGAUCUUACUCUGGUAGACCUACGAGGUUCAGUAGAAACUUGAUCUGAAGUUUCAUGAUCAAUAUCAUUAGCUUCCUCACUAAUUGGUGUAGUCGUCACAGGAACCGGUUCUUGUGAUGAACUACUUUCCAAUAAAGGAGUAGAUACAGUUAUCUCAUCAAGUUCUACUUUCCUCCCACUCACUUCUUUCGAGAGAAACUCCUUCUCUAGAAAGGAUCCGAAUUUAGCAACGAAAAUCUUGCCCUCAGAUCUGUGAUAGAAGGUGUACCCAAUAGUCUCCUUUGGGUAUACUAUGAAGACACAUUUCUCUGAUUUGGGUUCGAGCUUAUCUGGUUGAAGUUUCUUCACAUAAGCAUCGCAGCCCCAAACUUUGAGAAAUGACAACUUCGGUUUCUGUCCAAACCACAGUUCAUAAGGCGUCGUCUCAACGGAUUUCGAUGGUGCCCUAUUUAACGUGAAUGCGGCCGUCUCUAAAGCAUAACCCCAAAACGAUAGCGGUAAAUCGGUAAGAGACAUCAUAGAUCGUACCAUAUCAAGUAAAGUACGAUUACGACGUUCGGACACACCAUUUCGUUGUGGUGUUCUAGGUGGCGUGUGUUGCGAAACUAUUCCACAUUGUUUCAAAUGUAAACCAAACUCGUAACUCAAAUAUUCUCCUCCACGAUCAGAUCGUAGAAACUUUAUUUUCUUGUUACGAUGAUUUUCUACUUCACUCUGAAAUUCUUUGAACUUUUCAAAUGUUUCAGACUUGUGUUUCAUCAAGUAGAUAUACCCAUAUCUUCUCAAAUCAUCUGUGAAGGUGAGAAAAUAACGAUAUCCGCCACGAGCCUCAACAUUCAUCGGGCCACAUACAUCUGUAUGUAUGAUUUCCAACAAAUCUGUUGCUCUCUCCAUAGAUCCGGAGAACGGUGUUUUAGUCAUCUUGCCCAUGAGGCACGGUUCGCAAGUACCAAGUGAUUCAUAAUCAAGUGAUUCCAGAAGUCCAUCAGUAUGGAGUUUCUUCAUGCGCUUUACACCGAUAUGACCUAAACGGCAGUGCCACAAAUAUGUUGCACUAUCAUUAUCAACUCUACAUCUUUUGGCUUCAACAUUAUGAAUGUGUGUAUCACUACUAUCGAGAUUCAAUAAAAAUAGACCAUUCUUCAAGGGUGCAUGACCAUAAAAGAUAUUACUCAUAUAAAUAGAACAACCAUUAUUCUCUGAUUUAAAUGAAUAACCGUCUCGCAUCAAACAAGAUCCAGAUAUAAUGUUCAUGCUCAACACAGGCACCAAAUAACAAUUAUUCAGGUCUAAAACUAAUCCCGAUGGUAGAUGUAGAGGUAGCGUGCCGACCGCGAUCACAUCGACUUUGGAACCAUUUCCCACACGCAUCGUCACCUCGUCCUUAGCUAAUCUUCGCUUAAUCCGUAGUCCCUAUUUCGAGUUGCAAAUGUUAGCAACAGAACCAGUAUCAAAUACCCAGGUGCUACUGCGAGCAUUAGUAAGGUACACAUCAAUAACAUGUAUAUCACAUAUACCUUUGUUUACUUUGCCAUCCUUCUUAUCCGCCAAAUACUUGGGGCAGUUCCGCUUCCAGUGUCCAGUCUGCUUGCAGUAGAAGCACUCAGUUUCAGGCUUAGGUCCAGAUUUGGGUUUCUUCUCUUGAGCAGCAACUUGUUUGCUAUUCUUUUUGAAGUUCCCCUUCUUCUUCCCUUUGGCCCUUUUCUUGAAACCAGUGGUCUUGUUGACCAUCAACACUUGAUGCUCCUUUUUGAUUUCUACCUCCGCGGCUUUCAGCAUCGCGAAGAGCUCGGGAAUAGUCUUGUUCAUCCCUUGCAUAUUAUAGUUCAUCACAAAGCUCUUGUAGCUUGGUGGCAGUGAUUGGAGAAUUCUGUCAAUGACGCUAUCAUCCGGAAGAUUAACUCCCAGUUGAACCAAGUGAUUAUUAUACCCAGACAUUUUGAGUAUAUGCUCACUGACAGAACUGUUCUCCUCCAUGUUGCAGCUGUAGAACUUAUUGGAGACUUCAUAUCUCUCAAUCCGUGCAUUUGCUUGAAAUAUUAACUUCAACUCCUGGAACAUCUCAUAUGCUCCAUGACGUUCAAAACGUUGUUGAAGACCCGGUUCUAAGCCGUAAAGCAUGGCACACUGAACUAUAGAGUAGUCAUCAGCUUUGCUCUGCCAGACGUUCUUAACGUCGUCAGUUGCAUCAGCAGCAGGCCUGGCACCCAGCAGUGCUUCCAAGACGUAACUCUUCUAUGCAGCAAUGAGGAUAAUCCUCAGGUUACGGACCUAGUCCAUGUAAUUGCUACCAUCAUCUUUCAACUUUGCUUUCUCAAGGAACGCAUUAAAAUUCAACGGAACAACAGCACGAGCCAUCUAUCUACAAACAAACAUAGACAAGCAAAAUACUAUCAGGUACUAAGUUCAUGAUAAAUUUAAGUUCAAUUAAUCAUAUUACUAAAGAACUCCCACUUAGACAGACAUCUCUCUAGUUAUCUAAGUGAUCACGUGAUCCAAAUCAACUAAACCAUGUCCGAUCAUCACGUGAGAUGGAUUAGUUUCAAUGGUGAACAUCUCUAUGUUGAUCAUAUCUACUAUAUGAUUCACGCUCGACCUUUCGGUCUCCGUGUUCCGAGGCCAUAUCUGUAUAUGCUAGGCUCGUCAAGUAUAACCUGAGUAUUCCGCGUGUGCAACUGUUUUGCACCCAUUGUAUUUGAACGUAGAGCCUAUCACACCCGAUCAUCACGUGGUGUCUCAGCACGAAGAACUUUCGCAAUGGUGCAUACUCAGGGAGAACACUUCUUGAUAAUUAGUGAGAGAUCAUCUUAAAAUGCUACCGUCAAUCAAAGCAAGAUAAGAUGCAUAAAGGAUAAACAUCACAUGCAAUCAAUAUAAGUGAUAUGAUAUGGCCAUCAUCAUCUUGUGCUUGUGAUCUCCAUCUUCGAAGCACCGUCGUUAUCACCAUCGUCACCGGCGCGACACCUUGAUCUCCAUCGUAGCAUCGUUGUCGUUUACGCCAUCUAUUGCUUCUACGACUAUCGCUACCGCUUAGUGAUAAAGUAAAGCAAUUACAGGGCGUUUGCAUUUCAUACAAUAAAGCGACAACCAUAUGGCUCCUGCCAGUUGCCGAUAACUUCGGUUACAAAACAUGAUCAUCUCAUACAAUAAAAUAUAGCAUCACGUCUUGGCCAUAUCACAUCACAACAUGCCCUGCAAAAACAAGUUAGACGUCCUCUACUUUGUUGUUGCAAAUUUUACGUGGCUGCUACGGGCUUAAGCAAGAACCAAUCUUACCUACACAUCAAAACCACAACGAUAGUUUGUUGAAUAGACUCCGUUUUAACCUUCACAAGGACCGGGCGUAGCCACACUCGGUUCAACUAAAGUUGGAGAAACAGACACCCACUAGUCACCUGUGUGCAAAGCACGGCGGUAAAACCCGUCUCGCGUAAGCGUACGCGUAAUGUCGGUCCGGGCCGCUUCAUCCAACAAUACCGCUGAACCAAAGUAUGACAUGCUGGUAGGCAGUAUGACUUAUAUCGUCCACAACUCACUUGUGUUCUACUCGUGCAUAUAACAUCAAACCAUAAAAACCUAGGCUCGGAUGCCACUGUUGGGGAACGUAGUAAUUUCAAAAAAUUUCCUACGCACACGCAAGAUCAUGGUGAUGACAUAGCAACGAGGGGAGAGUGUUGUCUACGUACCCUCGUAGACCGAAGCGGAAGCAAUGACACAGCGUAGUGGAAGUAGUCGUACGUCUUCCCGGUUCAACCGAUCCAGGCACCGUUACUCCGGCACCUCCGAGUUCUUGACACACGUACAGCUCGAUGACGCACCCUCGUUCUCCAAUCCAGUAGAGGCUCCGAGGGGGAGUUCCGUCAGCACGACGGCGUGGUGACGAUCUUGAUGUUCUCCUGUCACAGGGCUUCGCCUAAG